CCAUGGCAGUUGGACAAUUCUUUAGUCCAAAAGAUGGGGAAUUUGAGUUGUUUCCUCAGUUGUUGCUUCUCUCAACUUAUUCUCCGAAGGACAUAAUAUUGAAGGAGGACCAUCCUCUUGCUUUCAAUAUGUCAUUUGCUAUUAGCUUAGGUCUUUUUCCUGUUAAACUAUCUCUGGAAAGUACAGGAUGUGGAAUAAAAAAAUCUGUACUCCCCGUUGAAGAGGCUGGAGAUCUGGAGAAUGGCAGACUUUGCAAACUGCACUGUUUUCCACCUGUGGCACUUGCUUGGGAUGCUACAUCAGGUCUUCACAUAUUUCCAAAUUUGUAUUCUGAGACAGUUAUGGUGGAUUCUUCACCAGCACUCUGGAGUUCAACUCAGGGGUCCGAGAAGACUACCGUUUUGUUACUGGUAUUGUCAUCUAAUGUUUAAUAAGUUUCCUGUCUUGUAAUAACCAUACAAUAUAGGAUUAAUACAAUUCACAGUUCUAUUUCUCCAACCUUAAAAAUUAAAGGUUUUGAUUUCUGCGUUUUCUGUCAUAUUUUAUUUAUUUAUUUAUCGUUUGUGUGUGUGAAUGGGGACUAGUGAUUUCAGUAAUUUGUGUUUGCCACGUGUUCUGGUUUUUGCAACUAACUUCUGCAGCUUGUUGGGUCGUGCGCUGCUAUCUGUUACAUGGCGAUUUGGCUUGGAUACACAGACAUGCACUUAAUCUUUGGUGUAUCUAUGACUUUGGAGCAUGUGUGGCUCAGCAGGGAGAGCUGAAUAAUCAGUUGAAGCAGUAGCUCUAGAAGUUCUAGAUAUGAAGCAUGGGUCAUUUAUAAUUUCUUGGCAUUGUGCCUGGCAUGGGUGGGUGGACCAGGAGCUGUUGUGUUGAGUUUAAGUGGUCGGGUUCUGAAGCCAAGCUGGUAUCUGAUGACAUGCUGCUUUUCUCCCAUUCCAUUAGAUGGGUGAGUAUGUUUUAAAUUAAUCAGCCAUCUACUGUGAUUGGUUUUUGAUGCAUGGUGACAACCCUCAGGGUCCAAGUAAUUUGAGGUUU